ACGUUCUCGGGCCUUGUACACACCGCCCGUCACACCAUGGGAGUCGGUAACACCCGAAGUCUGUAGCCUGACGCAAGAGGGCGCAGCCGAAGGUGGGGAUUGAUGACUGGGGUGAAGUCGUAACAAGGUAAC
rnacentral:rRNA from 1 species